rnacentral:lncRNA from 9 species
GUCCAUAACAAGCCCAGGCAGCUAUUCAAAUGCAAGUUGCAACCCCAAAUGCAAUGCAAGGCUAGCCUGAUCAAAAAGCCAUUCCGGAGCCCAGGAGAAGAGAGACCCGGGCUCUGGAUUUCAUCCUUCUCUCUUCUUCUUUCUCUUCGGUUCCUGAUUUAGCUGGGAGCUGUUUAUUUAUGGCUGCAAAUGUGUGCGUGCGAGAGAGAGGGAGAAUUGAUCUUUGCCUGGACUUAAAGAUGGAGACGAAGGCGCUGGAGGGAAUUUGGGUUUGUGCAUCUAGCUCAGACCCCAGGCGCCGAAGGGGGCCUUUUGGCACGAAACCCGAGGUUUCUCUUUUUCGCACCCCUCACCUCGCGACCUUGCAGGAAUACACGGGCCCCGAAGCGGCCUGGCUGACCCGCCUGCCCGGGGACGGGUUGCUGAGAAAGGCUUCAUGGAGGGAGCCAUCCCCGUCCCUUUCUUUAAAAUGAGCGCAAUAAAAGGGGGCAAAUCCUCAAGCGCGAACCUGAUCGCUUGUCACAGAAGCAACUUGCCAUGAAAUCCGCUAAUGCGCCGCGACUCGCCCACCAGGAUAGGCAAACCCCAGCGUUGGUGUAACCAGCGCAAGCGCGCGUCCUAUUCCUCAAAUGCUCGAUCUACCGGCCACACUACAGCCCACAGUGCUUUCUGGAAACCCCAUUUUCCUGAUUGCAGCCCACACUCUGGAACCUCGCAACCCAUCCGGGGUAAGGAGUCAGAUCUGGGCCAAGUAGUGGGUCGGACACAGACACAGAUACACACACACACACACACACACACACACACACACACACACACACACGGAGGUGGGGGUGGGGGGAGAAAGAGAGAGAGAGAGAAAGGCAGUGCUUCGUUGGAUGAGGAUCCAGGGUGGCUGGAUAGAGAUCUGAAAGGCCCUAGCUGGCAGGAGUCUUGCAGCCCUUAAAGCAGCUUAAUCCUGAUAGUUAUUUUGAGAAACAAGACCUGGAACCUAGGUUUGAGCUUAACAGGGCAGUGGCAAGGAAUAAAUGUCCCAGCAUUUAUUUGGAAUGAGGGACAACUGCCCAGCUGACCUGGUGUUGUGGCAAACUGGACAUUAGGAAAUGUUUUCUCUUCGCGCACACAGUAGCACACAUUUCCUUGGAUGGAGAGCUCACCCAUGUGCAGGGAGCCUCUGGCUGGGCCAGUGCACCUCCCAACCACUCUUGCCGACUUCUUCAGGUUUUGCCAGGCAAAUGAAACAAGAAGAACUGGAUCAUAAAUUAUUUUGUUCAGACCUCUGUCUUUUCAUGAAAAUAAAAGACAAUACUUUGUCAUUUUUAAUCAUAUAAGCAGACAAUAAACCUAAUUUUGAUAUUGAUUUUUUCCAGAAUCAAGUGAUUUUGUGCAGUGUCUGUUGUAUUUCCUUUUCAAGGAAUGUCCAUUUGUUGGUAGAUUGUGUGGUUCUAAGACUGAACUAUAGCAGGCAGGUGCUUAUCUGAAACAUGUAGUUGCUUACGGACUUGAAGCCAGAUAGCUGAGAAGGGGCUCUUCCUAGGUGGCAGGAAGUUUGGGUUUUGUCUAAUUAUCUAGAUAAUUGUUUCAACUGGGUCACCACAGUUGCCCUAGGAUAGAUUUACCACUCAGUUUAUGCUGUUAGGGGUUAUGGCCUCAGAGAUUCACUCC